GAUUCCGUAAUGUAGCGGUUAUCACAUGCGCUUUCCACGCGCAAGGUCCACGGUUCGAGCCCGGGCGGAAUCA